CGAGAGAAGUAUUAUUUUCAGAAACGAACUUAUGGCGAGAAUACAUUUUCUGGUAGCUUUGGUUGCCGCUCUCUUAUUGGCAGUCGGGGUGACUUCACAAUCUGACGUUGCACGACUACGACGAACGAUACAUCUGCCGCCACCUUUAGUAAGGGAAGACGCAGUUGUCAAACUCUAAGUUAUGGUAUUUAACGCCUAUGUGUUAGCUGUGUGGAUACCACAUGCAUGCACAUAAAACAAUGUUUGUAUAUGUAUACACAUGUGUGUGUGUGACUGUGUGAGAGAGAGAGAGAGAGAGAGAGAGAGAGAGAGAGAGAGAGAGAGAGAGAGAGAAUGAGUCAGUCAGUCAGUUACUUGGCAUAUAAUUGAAACGAUACCAAUAUUUGAUAAAAAAAAUAUAUUUUUGAUUUCCUUCUACUCAUCUUUAUUACCUUCAAAUUACGGUUAUCUGUGGUUCAAAUCCUUCAUGAUUAAAAUCAUUAAUGAUAGAUUUCCACAUCCGAAGAUAUUGAAAAUUGACAUCCGAUUCAACUUUAAUUGUGAUACUAAUAAUAAAAGUACUAUUAGUAACAGUCGUCAUAGUAGUAAUAGUAGUGGUGGUGCCAGUAAUAGAGCUGUAGAAACAUACGGAGAGUAAAAAUCUUAAUGUCGACCAAACUAUUUCUUCCAGAAAUGUUAGGAAAGCGAAGUAAUGUACAAUCAGCAUUAAUAAAAAU